rnacentral:rRNA from 1 species
GUUCGUGACUGGGGUGAAGUCGUAACAAGGUAGCCGUAUCGGAAGGUGCGGCUGGAUCACCUCCUUU